CUGAAAUUAAAUGAAACUUCAAAAAUAAAAUUUUAUCUGAGGAUGAGGAGGCUUUUGCAGAGCUGCUGGGUAUAAAGGUACCCAAGCUAAGCUAGCUGGUGAACGACCAAUCCAUCUUUGAUGCUGGCAUCAGCCAAAUCUCUUUUCAGGAUGAGUUUGAUAUCAAUUACUGUUCUCCAUUCUUUCCUUCUAUUCCUCUCCUUUUUUUUUACAAUUUUUUUUUGUUGUAAUAAUCAUGAAGUUUGAUCCCAAGAGGUUGGC
rnacentral:lncRNA from 1 species